AGUGGAAUUGCUGGGCAUAUGGUAGCUCUGUAUUUAACUUUCUAAUGAACUUCCAAAACUAUUUUCUAAAAUCUCUCCACCACUUUACAUUCCCAAUAGCAGU
rnacentral:pre_miRNA from 1 species